CUUGCUGGGGGGAUUAGUGGCGAACGGGUGAGUAACACGUGAGUAACCUGCCCUUGACUCUGGGAUAAGCGUUGGAAACGACGUCUAAUACCGGAUACGAGCUUCAGCCGCAUGGCUAGGAGUUGGAAAGAAUUUUGGUCAAGGAUGGACUCGCGGCCUAUCAGGUAGUUGGUGAGGUAAUGGCUCACCAAGCCGACGACGGGUAGCCGGCCUGAGAGGGUGACCGGCCACACUGGGACUGAGACACGGCCCAGACUCCUACGGGAGGCAGCAGUGGGGAAUAUUGCACAAUGGGCGAAAGCCUGAUGCAGCAACGCCGCGUGAGGGACGACGGCCUUCGGGUUGUAAACCUCUUUUAGUAGGGAAGAAGCGAAAGUGACGGUACCUGCAGAAAAAGCACCGGCUAACUACGUGCCAGCAGCCGCGGUAAUACGUAGGGUGCAAGCGUUAUCCGGAAUUAUUGGGCGUAAAGAGCUCGUAGGCGGUUUGUCGCGUCUGCUGUGAAAACUGGAGGCUCAACCUCCAGCCUGCAGUGGGUACGGGCAGACUAGAGUGCGGUAGGGGAGAUUGGAAUUCCUGGUGUAGCGGUGGAAUGCGCAGAUAUCAGGAGGAACACCGAUGGCGAAGGCAGAUCUCUGGGCCGUAACUGACGCUGAGGAGCGAAAGCAUGGGGAGCGAACAGGAUUAGAUACCCUGGUAGU
rnacentral:rRNA from 1 species